GAAUCCUUUUCUUCUUUUUAUUUAGAGACAAAGAACAGGAUGAAGAGCCUGCUAAUUACAGUACUCCUGUUUCUCUCUCUGGCUGCUGUUGCUCUAGGAGGAAAUACAAAAUCUAAACCGCAUAAUGAAGUAUUUGUGCCACCCACACCUGAGGAAGAAGCCACGGCAACCAAAGAUUUUACAUUUGGAGACAUCAUUGAAUUUCCCUAUAAACACAAGAGGGUGGUCCCAUUCAAGCACUAUGGUGUAUUUGUGGGAAACCAUCGUUUUCAGACGACCGGAGAGCAGCAAGGACCCCAUGACACUCUUUUCCAUUUCUCAGAAAGUGAAACCGGAAUGAAAUGUCAGUUUAGUACAGUAUUGGCAGCAGCUGAAGGAGGUACAUACCAAAAAAAGAACCUUCAUGAUGGAAAAGAUGGGUGGCAAAAAAAUACAGAUGAGAAAAUGGUGGAAAUAAUCACAUUUCUGGCAAAUAACGGAUGUGGAGAAUACAAAUUACUAAGCAAUAACUGUGAGCACGUGUCAACAUACGUCCGUUAUAGUCAAAAUGUUUCGAAGCAGGCACAGAGGGCUAAAAAAAUAAUUCGCUGUUUAGAGAUUACACCCACGGGAAACAGACCCAAAAGGUGGGCUGCAUCAAUUAAACAUUUCCUGGGUCUGGCCUGAGCACCCCUCUCAGAGGAAGAGUCAGAGUUACAAACCCUGCAAGUUUGUAUUUGCUGUCAUACUUGCUGUCAUAACUCUGCCACAACUCUCUAAUAAAGUUUAUUAACAGCAUCCUAAUA